UACGUAGGGUGCAAGCGUUGUCCGGAAUUAUUGGGCGUAAAGAGCUCGUAGGCGGUCUGUCGCGUCUGGUGUGAAAAUCCAGGGCUUAACCCUGGACCUGCAUCGGGUACGGGCAGACUAGAGUGCGGUAGGGGAGAUCGGAAUUCCUGGUGUAGCGGUGAAAUGCGCAGAUAUCAGGAGGAACACCGGUGGCGAAGGCGGAUCUCUGGGCCGUAACUGACGCUGAGGAGCGAAAGUGUGGGGAGCGAACAGG
rnacentral:rRNA from 1 species